UACGUAGGCAGCGAGCGUUGUUCGGAGUUACUGGGCGUAAAGGGCGUGUAGGCGGUUGUUUAAGUUUGGUGUGAAAUCUCCCGGCUCAACUGGGAGGGUGCGCCGAAUACUGAAUGACUUCGAGUGCGGGAGAGGAGAGUGGAAUUCCUGGUGUAGCGGUGAAAUGCGUAGAUAUCAGGAGGAACACCGGUGGUGUAGACGGCUCUCUGGACCGUAACUGACGCUGAGACACGAAAGCGUGGGUAGCAAACAGG
rnacentral:rRNA from 1 species